rnacentral:rRNA from 1 species
AGCGCAGGUGGGAAUGUAAGUCAAUCUUAAAAGUGCGGGGCUCAACCCCGUGAUGGGAUAGAAACUACAUUUCUUGAGCGCAGGAGAGGAAAGUGGAAUUCCUAGUGUAGCGGUGAAAUGCGUAGAUAUUAGGAGGAACACCAGUGGCGAAGGCGACUUUCUGGACUGUUACUGACACUGAGGCUCGAAAGCUAGGGGAGCGAACG